rnacentral:rRNA from 1 species
AAAACCCGAUUGAACGCUGGCGGCAGGCCUAACACAUGCAAGUCGAGCGGAUGAAGGGAGCUUGCUCCUGGAUUCAGCGGCGGACGGGUGAGUAAUGCCUAGGAAUCUGCCUGGUAGUGGGGGAUAACGUCCGGAAACGGGCGCUAAUACCGCAUACGUCCUGAGGGAGAAAGUGGGGGAUCUUCGGACCUCACGCUAUCAGAUGAGCCUAGGUCGGAUUAGCUAGUUGGUGGGGUAAAGGCCUACCAAGGCGACGAUCCGUAACUGGUCUGAGAGGAUGAUCAGUCACACUGGAACUGAGACACGGUCCAG